AAAGUCUGGAGACGCAUUCCCGGCCCGUUAUAGACCUGACCGCCGGCCUCAAGAAAAACACGCACACACAUUCAAGUGGCGACUGCGCCCGACAGCUUUUCACUGACAAUAAACGAGCCAGCUCCGAGACGUGCGAAGACAUGCCAGAUUAACUGAAGGCACAAAACGCCACAUGCUGAGUCAAACCCGGCAAGAGUCCAAAUUACACACCCGCACGCUUUUGGAGUUGGACCUCGGAGAGCUGCCAGAUCCAUUUCAUGGAUUUUGGGCCCCGUUUAUUCAGGAACUAUUUUGGCCUUCUUCACAUUUAUUUUAUGUAAUUCCACUGUUGUCCACUAGAUGGUGAAAGACUAUUUUGUCUGGCUGUGUAAAUUUGAAAAAUGAUUAAAAACAGCAAGUUGAGUAUUUCUGAAGAUGAAGAAGGGAAAUCCUCUUCAGUCCUGCUAUUUGUGUAUACAAGUGGCAACCUGUAUAGGUUCAUUUUGUAAUGUUUAUCUCUUGCUCUUUCUCAAUACGUGUCCAAAUUAUCUUCAAAGUUUUUUCAAAGAAGAAGCGGGGUAGAUGCUUUCAAAACUGAGUCGGAGGCACAUACCAAGAGGCCGUCAGGCCGCAUCACCUGUGACGGAUGCAAACGACAGCUCAGACCGACUGUUCUGGACCUUCACCCGGAGGAUGUUGGCUCUCACCUAAAUCCAACUUGCUGCAGUUGGAGUUGCUCUCCUCCGUCACGCUGCAUUUGUAGACGUCUCCUUUCCUGUUGCCGGGCUGCCCGUCCCAAGGAGCGCCCACCAGCAUUCUGCACGGUAACCAUUCUCAAGAGAAGCCGAAAAGGGCAUCAUCGGGACCGCCGAAGAUCCGCGGAUGCGUCACGUCAAUGUUGAAGCACUGGCACCAGCCUGCAGAAUUGAGCACAAGCAAGAGAGCUCCCAUCAAGAUUGACCAAACGUGGUUGGGAUGCACAUUCUCUCGAAUUAUUGAGCCAAUAUAACAAAAAUUGAACAAAAAUAACAUCAGACUAGAGCCCGCAAUACUAUAUUUUUGUUUCGGUUUUGGGGAACACGGACUGGCAACCGGGAGGACGAGGGAGCCAGUGAAAAGGAUGAAUAAACAGCGGCGGCAUACAGCUAGCAGGGCUGAAAGGGAGUUCAGUCCAGAGGUUAGGAAGGAAAGGCGUGUUGGAGUGAGGAGAAUAGUGAGCGCCCUGUUGACGGCAGCAUAAGUCUGCCCUUUGAUUCCGUCGCGAGCGGUAAGAUGCUCGUCGGCUGGCUGGCCCGCUCCUGAAAACAUGCCAGGCUUCUUCAUUAGAACCUCACGGUGUCCGUCGGAGCGGAAUUCUCUUCGGUUUUCUUUUGCAUACGUCAAUGAGGGAUUUGACAUGCGUGACUUUUUUUUUUUUAAUCCAGUGUACAUGUGAGCUAAAUUGUACCUAAUGAAGUGUCUGGUAAGCUGACGUCACUUGCGGUUU